GAUGAACGCUGGCGGCGUGCCUAAUACAUGCAAGUCGAGCGAACAGACGAGGAGCUUGCUCCUCUGACGUUAGCGGCGGACGGGUGAGUAACACGUGGAUAACCUACCUAUAAGACUGGGAUAACUUCGGGAAACCGGAGCUAAUACCGGAUAAUAUAUUGAACCGCAUGGUUCAAUAGUGAAAGACGGUUUUGCUGUCACUUAUAGAUGGAUCCGCGCCGCAUUAGCUAGUUGGUAAGGUAACGGCUUACCAAGGCAACGAUGCGUAGCCGACCUGAGAGGGUGAUCGGCCACACUGGAACUGAGACACGGUCCAGACUCCUACGGGAGGCAGCAGUAGGGAAUCUUCCGCAAUGGGCGAAAGCCUGACGGAGCAACGCCGCGUGAGUGAUGAAGGUCCUCGGAUCGUAAAACUCUGUUACUAGGGAAGAACAAAUGUGUAAGUAACUAUGCACGUCUUGACGGUACCUAAUCAGAAAGCCACGGCUAACUACGUG
rnacentral:rRNA from 1 species